AGUGAACUUCAUACAGCCAUUUGAAUGUGAUUCAUUAACCUGCCACCCGAAAAAUUAUUCUGUCCACUGUUCCGAAUGUCCUGCAAAAAUCGUUUCCUUGUCCUGCAUUUGGGCUUUUUAGAUGUGAUGUAGAUCUAAUUCCACUGGAGGAAACAUUGAUACUGCAACAUGUUAUCACCAUCUUUGCACACUGUGUACUCUCUGAAGUAACCAGAAAUACCGGAUAUACUGUACAUGGAUGAAAGACGCAAACAAGUUCCGGCAAGCAGCUUGAUUUAAGACCGGAGCUAGAGCUGGAGCUGGGAUGGAUGCCUCCCCCUGUCAUCAAUGGAGGCCAAUGCAGCCAGUUAAUCUGGGUCCUUGGAUCAGAACAGGAAGUCUGCUUUUCCUGUAAAGGGGGGACUUUACAAAGACAGACCUUGCCACUCCACUGCUGCAGGUCGGAACAAGCAGAGAUAGACCACCUUUGAUAAAUGGCUGGCAGUGGAAAGUGAGAAAGACCUUGCUGCCUCUGCUCACUGCGUCAAGACAGAGUUCUUUUAAACACUACCACAUGCAAGGAAGCACAUGGUGAUGGAUCCCAGAUGUGUGCGAGAGAAGGAGCUGGCUCCGUUUGGACUGUGGCCACAACAGUCCAGACCAGAUUGCAAUUGUAAUGUCCAGUGUUGUGUUGAUGGUUUAGACUAAUUAUAAGACUGAUUAGAGUAAGCUUGGCGAUGGACUGAAAGGCCUUGUGUGCUUUGAGUCAACAAGUACCAAUGCCAAAGACUGAUAGUGGUUCAUAAACAUACAAACCCGCACGCAUGCACGCAAAGGGAAAUGUACAUGAAUGCACACCAUCGGUGCAUAAUACAAUGCACAAUGUCUGUCAAACCAAUUUAUGCAACGUGUUAAAGAUGAUGCCAGAAAUGUGUUUUAUAGAGACUGUCAUAAUCCACUAGAUCCAGGAUAACGUUCCCCGUCCAUGCUCUGAAAAUGUUCUCUGUUUUUUCUUUCCAUUUUAUGAUUGUCAGCACAGCCCUGUAUAUUUCCAAGAGAGCCAGUAACCAACACGACAUCAUGCUUAAAUGCCUUAAUGAGCUGACAAAAUCAAAUUCAGGAGAUUUCUUGGGGAGAUUUUCCUUGACUGAUCAGAGGCCUGUGUGCCUAGAGAGGGAUCUCUUUGUGUUUGUGUUUGUGUGAUGGGGAGGGGGCCAUUUUAGAGUCAUAUGUAAGAUAUUAAGAUAUUCCUUUGAAGAGCAGCAUAAAAUGUGGAGGAUUCCAGAAGUACCGACAGAAAGGGCCAAACCCAGAAGAUUAUGUAAUGCACAGACACACAUACGUGCAUAUGCACACACACGGAUGCACACACACAUGCACGCGCGAGCACACACACCAUAGUGAUACUAGAUGCAGGACUUGCCAACAAUUUGACUCAGGGUGUCAUGCAUUUGGUGUGUGUCAGAGUUAAACCUGUGGGCCAAUGGGUCACACGAUUAAUGAAAUGCUAG